rnacentral:lncRNA from 1 species
GGUCCCUCAAGAUAGCAAUGCUCUCUGAUACCAAUUUGUUGGAAAGAAAGAACAUAAUUUAAUCUGUAUAAAGGAAAAAAACAGAACUUGAACCGAGAAGAGAAAGAGCAGAAAAGCUGUGUUAUUUUUCGUUGCUUAUUGAAAUGAUCACUGCCACAUUUAUACAUAAAAUCAUAACUGAAAAAGCUUAAUUAAAGGAGUAAAAUAAACUAUCAUAUCUCUAACAUUAUUGCCU